GACGAACGCUGGCGGCGUGCCUAAUACAUGCAAGUCGAACGAGUGGCGGACGGGUGAGUAAUGUCUGGGAAACUGCCCGAUGGAGGGGGAUAACUACUGGAAACGGUAGCUAAUACCGCAUACCAUCGGAUGUGCCCAGAUGGGAUUAGCUAGUCGGUGGGGUAACGGCUCAACUGGGCGACGAUCCCUAGCUGGUCUGAGAGGAUGACCAGCAACACUGGAACUUAGACACGUUCCAGACUCCGACGGGAGUCAGCAGUGGGAAAUAUGGCAAAAUGGGCGCAAGCCUGAUGCAGCCAUGCCGCGUGUAUGAAGAAGGCCUUCGGGGUGUAAAGUACUUUCAGCGAGGAGGCGUUACUCGCAGAAGAAGCACCGGCUAACUACGUGCCAGCAGCCGCGGUAAUA
rnacentral:rRNA from 1 species